rnacentral:rRNA from 1 species
CAAGUCGAACGCGAAAGUGGAGCAAUCCAUAAGUAGCGUGGCAAACGGGUGAGUAACGCGUGGGCGACCUACCUCAGAGUGGGGGAUAACCUUCCGAAAGGAGGGCUAAUACCGCAUGACAUCCCGUGUUUGGAUACACGGACAUCAAAGCCGGGGAUCGCAAGACCUGGCGCUUGGAGAGGGGCCCGCGUCCGAUUAGCUAGUUGGUGAGGUAACGGCUCACCAAGGCUUCGAUCGGUAUCCGGCCUGAGAGGGCGGACGGACACACUGGGACUGAGACACGGCCCAGACUCCUACGGGAGGCAGCAGUGGGGAAUUGUUCGCAAUGGGCGCAAGCCUGACGACGCAACGCCGCGUGGAGGAUGAAGACCUUCGGGUCGUAAACUCCUUUCGACCGAGAUGAAUUUCCGCCGGCCUAAUACGUCGGCGGGGUGACAGUAUCGAGGGAAGCAGCCCCGGCUAACUCCGUGCCAGCAGCCGCGGUAAUACGGGGGGGGCAAGCGUUGUUCGGAAUUACUGGGCGUAAAGGGUUCGUAGGUGGCUGGCUAAGUCAGACGUGAAAUCCCUCAGCUCAACUGGGGAACUGCGUCUGAGACUGGUCAGCUUGAGUGCAGGAGAGGAACGCGGAAUUCCAGGUGUAGCGGUGAAAUGCGUAGAUAUCUGGAGGAACACCGGCGGCGAAGGCGGCGUUCUGGACUGCAACUGACACUGAGGAACGAAAGCCAGGGGAGCAAACGGGAUUAGAUACCCCGGUAGUCCUGGCCCUAAACGAUGAAUGCUUGGUGUGGCGGGUAUCGAUCCCUGCCGUGCCGUAGUUAACGCGUUAAGCAUUCCGCCUGGGGA